GAGAGGGUUAACCUCUGACCCACAGACAGGAGAGGGUUAACCUCUGACCCACAGACAGACACAGACAGGAGAGGGUUAAUCUCUGACACACAGACAGGAGAGGACAGGAGAGGGUUAAUCUCUGACACACAGACAGACACAGACAGGAGAGGGUUAACCUCUGACACACAGACAGGAGAGGACAGGAGAGGGUUAAUCUCUGACACACAGACAGACACAGACAGGAGAGGGUUAACCUCUGACACACAGACAGGAGAGGACAGGAGAGGGUUAACCUCUGACACACAGACAGGAGAGGGUUAACCUCUGACACACA